UGCCGAUUGGUGUAAAGGUAGCACGCCUGACUCUGACUCAGUCUGUGAGGGUUCGAAUCCUUCAUCGGCAGCCA
rnacentral:tRNA from 1 species